rnacentral:misc_RNA from 1 species
UACGUAGGGGGCAAGCGUUGUCCGGAUUUAUUGGGCGUAAAGAGCGUGUAGGCGGCCAGGUAGGUCCGUUGUGAAAACUCGAGGCUCAACCUCGAGACGUCGGCGGAAACCCUCUGGCUAGAGUCCGGAAGAGGAGAGUGGAAUUCCUGGUGUAGCGGUGAAAUGCGCAGAUAUCAGGAAGAACACCCGUGGCGAAGGCGGCCCUCUGGGACGGUACUGACGCUGAGACGCGAAAGCGUGGGGAGCAAACAGG